AAGCUUGCGGCAGCUACACAUGCAGUCGAGCGGUAACAGGGGUAGCUUGCUACCCGCUGACGAGCGGCGGACGGGUGAGUAAUGCAUAGGAAUCUGCCCGAUAGUGGGGGAUAACCUGGGGAAACCCAGGCUAAUACCGCAUACGUCCUACGGGAGAAAGGGGGCUUCGGCUCCCGCUAUUGGAUGAGCCUAUGUCGGAUUAGCUAGUUGGUGAGGUAAUGGCUUACCAAGGCAACGAUCCGUAGCUGGUCUGAGAGGAUGAUCAGCCACAUCGGGACUGAGACACGGCCCGAACUCCUACGGGAGGCAGCAGUGGGGAAUAUUGGACAAUGGGGGCAACCCUGAUCCAGCCAUGCCGCGUGUGUGAAGAAGGCCCUCGGGUUGUAAAGCACUUUCAGCGAGGAAGAACGCCUAUCGGUUAAUACCCGGUAGGAAAGACAUCACUCGCAGAAGAAGCACCGGCUAACUCCGUGCCAGCAGCCGCGGUAAUACGGAGGGUGCAAGCGUUAAUCGGAAUUACUGGGCGUAAAGCGCGCGUAGGUGGCUUGAUAAGCCGGUUGUGAAAGCCCCGGGCUCAACCUGGGAACGGCAUCCGGAACUGUCAGGCUAGAGUGCAGGAGAGGAAGGUAGAAUUCCCGGUGUAGCGGUGAAAUGCGUAGAGAUCGGGAGGAAUACCAGUGGCGAAGGCGGCCUUCUGGACUGACACUGACACUGAGGUGCGAAAGCGUGGGUAGCAAACAGGAUUAGAUACCUC
rnacentral:rRNA from 1 species